UACAGCAUGGGAUCCUGGAGUUUUUACAGGUUAGUUUUAUUUUGGUACUGUUUGUAGGCCACAUUAGCCCACUGAUUGCACUGGUUGUUGUGCAAACACACAUGAGCUUCAUGCUGAUAAAUUACAAUUUUAAGCCUUGGGACCGUUCUCUUUCUCUCUUGGUUGGAGGAUUUGGACCAAAAAGGAAAAACGCAGGGAGGGGGGACUUUGGGGAAGUGAUUGAACAGAACAAAAUCUGAAAAACGAUUCUGCAAGAAUAUCUUCUUUUACCACCUGUCAUGAUGUAGAAAUAGGCAAGAGGUCAGUUUGGCUUUUAAAUUCAGGAGCAGUGUGUAGGUCUGGGAUGAAAAAAAACACCCCAUUUCUUCCACCUGUUCCCUUAUAUACUAAGCAAAUCUGAUUUAGAGAAAGAAGGGUUUUGUUUUUACGAAAACUGCACUUAACCUUGACCUGGCAAUCGCAUAGCAUCAUAGCUCUUAACUUAUUUGACUAUUUGAUUACUGUAACUUUUAAAAAAAUGAAACAUCUAGGAAUUAAGAACUGUAAAGUAAUAGGUAGUGUGUUAUUUUAUCAUCUCAGGUUCAAGCAGGACAGUUUCAGGAAAGUAUGACUUGAGAGAGGCAGCCAGACAGACAAUCCAAAUGCUUCAGUUGGCAGGAUGAAGUGAUAUGCUAAUGUAAGAGAAAAGAGCCCUUGCUUUCUGUAAGUGCCUUCGUUGCAUCCCAAGAAGGAAAGCUGCUGCGUCAUUGAACCAGUUCGUCUCCAGUGUGCCACCCUGCCCAGAUUUCUUCCAAGGAAGGAGUAGUGGAUGUGAUCUCUGCAAAAAGAAAGCUUGUCUGGUUGAUCCUGACGGUAAAACAAGCGUACCCGUUAAGAUGUCUGCGGGGAAAGUAUCCUGUUUUCAUCUACGCAGCCUGGUGAGUUCCACGAUUUACAUUUGAAAAGUACCUCUUACAGCACAUGUCCUUAGAGCUGAUUUUUUCUAUUAUAUGAUAAGCUUCUCAUGGCUUUUCCCUCCCCCGAUACGUGUGAAGUGGGUCUAGACU